GCAGGAGGAAUGGACAAGAUCCUUGGAGUAUCAGUUCUAAUUCUAGGACUUCAUCUAGCACGGGUGAGCAGCCAGCAGAAGGAGAAAAGUGACCAGCAACAGGUGAAACAAAAUCCUCAGUUUCUGACAGUCCAGGAAAGAGAGAUUUCAAUUCUGAACUGUACAUAUGAGAACAGUGCAUUUGACUACUUCCCAUGGUACCGGCAACUCCCUGGUAAAGGUCUUGAAUUAUUGACAUAUGUACGAUCAGUUAUGAAUGAAAAGGAAGAUGGAAAAUUCAAAGUUUUCUUCAGUAAAAGUUCCAAAGAGCUCUCCUUGCAUAUCAGGGAUUCUCAGCCUGGAGACUCAGCCACCUACUUCUGUGCAGCGAGCACACAGUGCUCUCCAGGCAUGCAGCCUGCUCCAUGGUACCGGCAACUCCCUGGUAAAGGUCUUGAAUUAUUGACAUAUGUACGAUCAGUUAUGAAUGAAAAGGAAGAUGGAAAAUUCAAAGUUUUCUUCAGUAAAAGUUCCAAAGAGCUCUCCUUGCAUAUCAGGGAUUCUCAGCCUGGAGACUCAGCCACCUACUUCUGUGCAGCGAGCACACAGUGCUCUCCAGGCACCUGCAGCCUGCGACCAAACCUGCCCUAG